rnacentral:rRNA from 1 species
AUCAGCCGCGGUAAUUCCAGCUCCAAUAGCGUAUAUUAAAGUUGUUGCAGUUAAAAAGCUCGUAAUUGAAUUUCGGGGUCAGUAGAUUGGUCGUGCCACUGGUAUGUACUGGUCUUACUGGCUCCUCCUUCCUGAUGAACCGUAAUGCCAUUAAUUUGGUGUUGCGGGGAGACUGGACUGUUACUUUGAAAAAAUUAGAGUGUUUAAAGCAGGCUAACGCUUGAAUACAUUAGCAUGGAAUAAUGAAAUAGGACGUUCGAUCUUAUUUUGUUGGUUUCUAGGAUUGACGUAAUGAUUAAUAGGGAUAGUUGGGGGCAUUAGUAUUCAAUUGUCAGAGGUGAAAUUCUUGGAUUAAU